rnacentral:rRNA from 1 species
GGGGGGGGGGGGGGGGGGGGGGGGGGGGGGGGGGGCGGGCGGGGCGGCCGUGCGUGGGGGGGGGGCUCGAGUGGGGAACGGGUGAGUGACACGUGGGUGACCUGCCCGUUACUGCGGGAGAACUUCCGGCAACGGGGGCGAAGACCGGCUCGGAGCGCCUGGUGCAUGGCGUGGGUUGGCACGUGUCGGCGGUUGGGGAUGGACUCGCGGCUUGUCAGCUUGUUGGUGGGGUAGUGGCUUACCAAGGCUUUGACGGGUAGCCGGCCUGAGCGGUUGACCGGCCACAUUGGGACUGAGAUACGGCCCAGACUCCUACGGGAGGCAGCAGUGGGGAAUAUUGCACAAUGGGCGGAAGCCUGAUGCAGCAACGCCGCGUGCGGGAUGACGGCCUUCGGGUUGUAAACCGCUUUCGCCUGUGACGAAGCGUGAGUGACGGUAAUGGGUAAAGAAGCACCGGCUAACUACGUG